CAAUAGCGUAUAUUAAAGUUGUUGCAGUUAAAAAGCUCGUAGUUGGAUUUCUGGUCUGAGCGUCCGGUCCGCCGCUGUGCGGUGUGUACUUGGUUCGACUCGGGCCAUCCUUGUAGGGAAUUCUUCUGGCAUUAAUUUGUCGGGGGCGGGAACUGCAUCGUUUACUGUGAAAAAUUAGAGUGUUUAAAGCAGGCAUUUGCUGUGAAUACAUUAGCAUGGAAUAAUAAGAUAGGACUUUGGUUCUAUUUUGUUGGUUGGAGGCCAAGGUAAUGAUUAAUAGGGAUAGUUGGGGGUGCUAGUAUUGGCCGGCCAGAGGUGAAAUUCUUGGAUUCGGUCAAGACUAACUUAUGCGAAAGCAUUCACCAAGGAUGUCUUCUUUAAUCAAGAACGAAAGUUGGGGGAUCGAAGAUGAUCAGAUACCGU
rnacentral:rRNA from 1 species